rnacentral:rRNA from 1 species
UACGAACUGUGCAAACGUUAUUCGGAUUCACUGGGCUUAAAGGGUGCGUAGGCGGCUUGCCAAGUAGGGUGUGCAAAGCCCCCGGCUUAACCGGGGAAUUGCGCCCUAAACUGGCGAGCUGGAGUGAGAUAGGGGUGUGUGGAACUUCCGGUGAGCGGUGAAAUGUGUUGAUAUCGGAAGGAACGCCGGUGGCGAAAGCGACACACUGGGUCUCAACUGACGCUGAGGCACGAAAGCCAGGGGGAGCGAACGGG